AACUUAGCAGAGAUGCUUUGGUGCCUUCGGGAACUCUGAGACAGGUGCUGCAUGGCUGUCGUCAGCUCGUGUUGUGAAAUGUUGGGUUAAGUCCCGCAACGAGCGCAACCCUUAUCCUUUGUUGCCAGCGGUUCGGCCGGGAACUCAAAGGAGACUGCCGGUGAUAAACCGGAGGAAGGUGGGGAUGACGUCAAGUCAUCAUGGCCCUUACGGCCAGGGCUACACACGUGCUACAAUGGCGCAUACAAAGAGAAGCGACCUCGCGAGAGCAAGCGGACCUCAUAAAGUGCGUCGUAGUCCGGAUUGGAGUCUGCAACUCGACUCCAUGAAGUCGGAAUCGCUAGUAAUCGUAGAUCAGAAUGCUACGGUGAAUGCGUUCCCGGGCCUUGUACACACCGCCCGUCACACCAUGGGAGUGGGUUGCAAAAGAAGUAGGUAGCUUAACCUUCGGGAGGGCGCUUACCACUUUGUGAUUCAUGACUGGGGUGAAGUCGUAACAAGGUAGGCGUAGCGAG
rnacentral:rRNA from 1 species